rnacentral:misc_RNA from 1 species
UUAAGUUCAGCGGGUAUCCCUACCUGAUCCGAGGUCAAACUUAGAAAGUUGGGGUUGCUGGCCAGUAACCACCGGGUCCCUAUAGCGAGGAUAUUUACUGCGCUCAGGGCCUCGGAGGCACCGCCACUGAUUUUAAGGCCCGCCAGGUUAGUGGCGAAGCCCAAUACCAAGCCAGGCUUGAGGGUUGUAAUGACGCUCGA